UAUUUAUUUAUUUAAUGUCUUUGGUAUGCCAAGGUGGACAAUUUCUACAUUAUGUCCUAUCCUUGGAGAAUUAGUUCAUAAAUGAAUUUGCUUAUGCAUGGAAUUUCACCAAUUAUUUCAGGUUGAAUUUUAUAAUAAGUUCAGUUAUGUUCCACAUAUUGUUGAUUGAAGAAAGCUAUUAUACUCUUCAAAUCAAUAAGAGGAACUCUAUCAGCCAUUUCCAGAUGAGCCCUUUAUAGAGCUUGCUUCUCUAUGUUCCUUUUUAUAGACCUUCAAAUUAUGUAUUGUACCUUCAGCUUUAGACCUUCCUAGGGCAGUGCAUCAAAGCUCAUUGUAUUUGUUCUGUAAUGAACUUCUGCUGGGUGAAAAACAUAAUUUCCUUUUGGACCAUAUAUUGUUACUGCUUCUGGUUUUGUUGGA